rnacentral:piRNA from 1 species
UGUAAGCAUGUGGACUGAUAC